GGCAGAAUUGCAUGCAGUACAGUUCAACCUGUAUGAGCAACCAGUCCCCUUUAGGCAGCACAAACCGCUUCUGUAGUGUGUAUAACUCCUCCAACCAGAAAUGCAACAGGCAAACUGGCUGCUUUGGAAAGCACUGAUUAAAAGAAUAAAUAAAUUUUUAAAAAAUAAUAAUUGAGCAGUGCUGGUAAAUCAAGUCACGCAAAGUAUGACUAAUCAUAGAUGAAUAAUGCACCUCCCAACGUAUGAAACUGAUUAUUCCAUAAAAGCCUCGGCAGCUUUCAUUUUAGUCCUCUACUACAGUACAGAGGUAUCUGCAUGCCUGCACGCACUGAUCUGAACCUCACAGAAGAACAAUUUCACAAAAAAAGUCAGAUAAGUUCUUAUUGACUAUUAGCUGUUGCUAAUGCAACAAGAGCCCAGAAAAAUCAACCUAAGGUAGCUCAGCCAACACACUGAUUAUGACUCAAGAAGACUGCAACAAAUACAUGGCAUAAGACGAGCAGUGUUGUUUCCUGAGCUUUGGUGAUACUGGGGCAGGUGAAAAAGGGAAAGUUCAUCAGCACGUUAAUGAAGGUAUUUUUCCUACUAAUCCUCACACACAAGAAACCAAUAAAGAAAACGGCAUUUACUGCAAUUCUAAUCAAGUGAUUACACGUUGAGGGGCAACACUAGUUAGAAUUUGAAUGUCACAGGAUCGGUGGCCUAAAGGAAAAGCCGGGGCUCACCGCUCAGACCAACGCAACCCCCCGCAAGGUUACGCUUCGUUUUACAGAAUUACAAACUUCAACCCCGAGACGGGCAUGACGUAUCAUUUUUACGUGAGACCGGGGCUGACAGGCCCGGAGGCCCCCGAAGGCCCUGUGAGUGACAACACCCCCGGGAAGGUAAUUCCGCUUCUCCCCACGCCAGCAACGCAGCUUCAUUACAGGCUCGACCGGGGAGGGGGGAAGGGGGGUUCCCGGACGGGGCCGGGCCCUGAGGGACUCACCGUGGCAGGCGCGGGGGAGCGGCGCCGCCUGGCACCGCAGGUACAGGCGGUAGAGGCCGCGGCANNNNNNNNNNACGCCUCAGGAGCCGCCGCUGACGCACCCGCGCCUGCGCAGAGCCGCGCGCCUCGCCUCAGCGGGUCAGGGCACCUCGCCUCACCUCGGCCCGGGUGA
rnacentral:lncRNA from 1 species